rnacentral:pre_miRNA from 1 species
UCUUUCCUCGAUCACUAUCCUGCUCCCUGAGACCUCAAUUGCGACUGCUAAAAGAUCGCGAAUUGUGACCUCAGGAUACAGGCGCGGUGACAAACUGGGUGU